rnacentral:rRNA from 1 species
AAUAUUGGACAAUGGGCGAAAGCCUGAUCCAGCCAUGCCGCGUGGGUGAAGAAGGCCUUCGGGUUGUAAAGCCCUUUUGUUGGGAAAGAAAAACAUCCGGCUAAUACCCGGAUGUAAUGACGGUUCCCCAAGAAUAAGCAACGGAUAACUUCGUGCCCGCCGCUGCGGUAAUACGAAGGGUGCAAGAGUUACUCGGAAUUACUGGGCGUAAAGGGUGGGUAGGUGGUUCGUUAAGUCGGAUGUGAAGGCCCUGGGCUCAACCUGGGAAUUGCAUUGGAUACUGGCGGGCUGGGGUGCGGUAGAGGGUAGUGGAAUUCCCGGUGUAGCAGUGAAAUGCGUAGAUAUCGGGAGGAACAUCCGUGGCGAAGGCGACUGCCUGGACCAGCACUGACACUGAGGCACGAAAGCGUGGGGAGCAAAC